CUCUCUCUCAUUUCCCAGAGUUUCCACAGCGCCACUGCCACAUUCCCGGUCACAAUUUACGUGUACCGUCUUCCGGCGAAGGUACUGGAUCCGGCAUUUGAGGACGCCAACCUGAAGGAUGUUCUUGCCAUUUGAGCGACCCACUGGCUGAUUGGUGAUGUACUUCCAGGCCAGUUCCAGCUGCAUCUCUUUCCAGGCCCUUCGGUGACCUCAGCUUCGCUUUCGCUAUCCACUGAAAUCCUACAGACCAAUGUCUUCACCCGACAUGUCAAGAAUUUGGGACAGAGGCAGCACUGAAGAUCACCAUCAACUGACAGAACUCGAAGGAAAGCGAGCCCUCUUCAUUUUAACAGGUUCUCGCGCCGGAU